rnacentral:ncRNA from 1 species
AAAAGACUUAGUCCUAACCUUACCGUUAAUUCUUGCUAAACAUAUACAUGCAAGUAUCCGCGUCCCAGUGUAAAUGCCCCUAAUCUCUUACCAAGACAAAAGGAGCGGGUAUCAGGCACACCCACGACUAGUAGCCCAAGACACCUUGCCCAGCCACACCCCCACGGGUACUCAGCAGNAAUUAACNUUAAGCAAUAAGUGUAAACUUGACUUAGUUAUAGCAAUUAUUCAGGGUUGGUAAAUCUUGUGCCAGCCGCCGCGGUCAUACAAGAGACCCAAAUUAACCGUACACGGCGUAAAGAGUGGGAUUAGUACUAUCACAGCAACUAAGAUCAAAGCGCAACUAAGCCGUCAUAAGCCCAAGAUGCACCUAAGACCAUCCUUAAGAUGAUCUUAGCGCCUCACGAUUAAUCAAACCCCACGAAAGCUUGGACACAAACUGGGAUUAGAUACCCCACUAUGCCUGGCCCUAAAUCUCGAUGCUUAGCUCACCAAAGCAUCCGCCUGAGAACUACGAGCACAAACGCUUAAAACUCUAAGGACUUGGCGGUGCCCCAAACCCACCUAGAGGAGCCUGUUCUAUAAUCGAUAAUCCACGAUACACCCGACCGUUCCUUGCCAAAGCAGCCUACAUACCGCCGUCGCCAGCUCACCUUUCCUGAAAGCACAACAGUGGGCACAAUAGCAUUAACCUCGCUAACAAGACAGGUCAAGGUAUAGCCCAUGGGGCGGAAGAAAUGGGCUACAUUUUCUAAGUUAGAAAACUCCACGAAAAGAGGUGUGAAACCACCCCUAAAAGGCGGAUUUAGUAGUAAAGUGGGAUAAUAGAGCCCCCUUUAAACUGGCCCUGGGGUACGUACAUACCGCCCGUCACCCUCCUCACAAGCUCCAACUUCUUAUAACUAAUCCACCUAUUAGCUGAAGAUGAGGUAAGUCGUAACAAGGUAAGUGUACCGGAAGGNGCACUUNGUACACA